UACGUAGGGUGCAAGCGUUGUCCGGAAUUAUUGGGCGUAAAGAGCUCGUAGGCGGUCUGUCGCGUCUGCUGUGAAAACUCAGGGCUUAACCCUGAGCUUGCAGUGGGUACGGGCAGACUAGAGUGCGGUAGGGGAGACUGGAAUUCCUGGUGUAGCGGUGAAAUGCGCAGAUAUCAGGAAGAACACCCGUGGCGAAGGCGGCUCUCUGGGACGGUACUGACGCUGAGACGCGAAAGCGUGGGGAGCAAACAGG
rnacentral:rRNA from 1 species